rnacentral:lncRNA from 1 species
AACAUGGGGUGCACUCUUUUUUCCUCCGUGAUAAUGGGCCAUUUUCAUACCAUUUGUGCUAAAAUAAAGGGAUAAAACAUGUUCUUCUCCUGGAGCCACCGUGCCACCGAUUACUUGUGUUAAGUAUUCUUUGAACGUUAGAGUAUAUAGCAGUUUUUUAUUAUAUAUAUGUCAUUGACAUCAUCUGUGUAAGUAUGCUUUCAGCAUAAAUUCCCCGCUUUAAGUGUAAAAUAUUGCUUUUUAAAAUUUAUUGUCAGAAGGUUUUAACCAGCAAAUUACUUUUUAUAAAAUUUAUUCACCCCUUCUCAACGGCUUGUAUGAAUCAAGAGCUUGUAAACACAGAAAUAUCGAUUGUUGCGCCGCUGCUGUCUUGGUGGAUGGCUAUGCUACGCUAGUGCGGCGAGGCUAAAACUGCUCGAUGGAGUUUGGGGGGGUGACUCAACUCCAUCGUAAUGGAGGGGUCAACAGAAAAACUCAUUCUCCAGCGCUGAUGGAGCUGCUUCUGUCUGACAAAGAAGAUGGAGUUAUAUUGUUCACCGUGGCGACGGGUCCCGACUGGUCAACAGAGCGUAUGGACUUUAUAUUGACCCAUUGCAGAACCUGAAAGCCUCGCAAAUCGCGGCGUGGAGCUUCCGCCAAAGCGCCGUUGUCCGGGUUGUGUCAUCAGCCUUAUCACAGCCGCCACACUGUUUUCCAUGAAAUUGAAAUGCUCUAUCGCUGCGUUUGUGUUCAGGCGUGGAGUGGCGUGUGGUGUCAUGUCACAUGUUCAACAUUUUCACACAGGAAUAUGGUAUAAGCUAUAAAGUCUUCAGAAGCAGGAUUUUGGACUUUUCUAACUGUUUAUCAGUCAAAUACUGGUCAGCUGAACCUCAGUGUUGCAGUGAUCAGAGCAGCCUAAUGGAUAAAGAACUCCUCAAAGCGUUCGCAGCAGUUUAAUGUCCGUAGGAUCGAAAGCUAGCGGCUUAGAAUGAAUUAGCAUUAUGAGAAAAUACAUGUUGCUCUGUAUUUUGCCUGCAACAGCAGGGGUGCAUCUGUGUUAGUCCUUCUUUUCUCUUAGACAACGUGACAGGUUAUAAUAGGGCGGCAUUCAUUUUGCCAAUUAUUUCAAAUUAGCCUUUGUACCUGAUAACCUUCGCUAGUCCCGACUGCGCAGUUAGAUAGGUGAAAUAUUUACCCAAAGCAGGAUUUAGACGGGGACGUGUUUUCUAUAAGGACGGGGUUUGUUUUCUCCUAUUUGCUCCUGUGGGGGAUUAAUGCUGUCAGUCACUUUGACUGGCACCUCUCAAAUCACACCCUCGCAGCAAAGUAGCUGAUUUUGUCAGGCGGAGAACGGCGUUAUCGGCACAACCUUGUUUGGAGACUCACAAAACCGCUAAACCCGCAAUUCAUGGGAGAUCUGUUUACAAUCUGCACCGGCCAUUGACUGCUAAACAGCCCGCACAGAUCCAUCCCGGGCCACUCCGAGGAGGAGAGGAGCAGAGCAAUUACAUCCUCAAACAGCAAUCUGAGGCUAGCCCGGCAUGCAAACAGACGUCA